UGUGUAGGCGGUUGCUUAAGUUUGGUGUGAAAUCUCCCGGCUCAACUGGGAGGGUGCGCCGAAUACUGAGUGACUCGAGUGCGGGAGAGGAGAGUGGAAUUCCUGGUGUAGCGGUGAAAUGCGUAGAUAUCAGGAGGAACACCGGUGGUGUAGACGGCUCUCUGGACCGUAACUGACGCUGAGACACGAAAGCGUGGGUAGCAAACAGGAUUAGAUACCCUGGUAGUCCACGCCCUAAACGAUGCAUAUUUGGUGUGGGCCGUUCAGUCGGUCCGUGCCGGAGCUAACGCGUUAAAUAUGCCGCCUGGGGAUACAGUCGCAAGGCUAGAA
rnacentral:rRNA from 1 species